AGUCGAGCGGACAGAUGGGAGCUUGCUCCCUGAAGUCAGCGGCGGACGGGUGAGUAACACGUGGGCAACCUGCCUGUAAGACUGGGAUAACUUCGGGAAACCGGAGCUAAUACCGGAUAACACCGAGGACCUCAUGGUCCUUGGUUGAAAGAUGGCUUCGGCUAUCACUUACAGAUGGGCCCGCGAGCGCCCACAUUAAGCCUAUAGUGUGUGUGUUGAAAGGUAUACGCGCCUCCACACAUACAGGCGACGAUGCGUAGCCGACCUGAGAGGGUGAUCGGCCACACUGGGACUGAGAACACGGCCCAGACUCCUACGGGAGGCAGCAGUAGGGAAUCUUCCGCCAAUGGACGAAAGUCUGACGGAGCAACGCCGCGUGAGCGAUGAAGGCCUUCGGGUCGUAAAGCUCUGUUGUUAGGGAAGAACAAGUACCGUUCGAAUAGGGCGGUACCUUGACGGUACCUAACCAGAAAGCCACGGCUAACUACGUGCCAGCAGCCGCGGUAAUACGUAGGUGGCAAGCGUUGUCCGGGAAUUAUUGGGCGUAAAGCGCGCGCAGGCGGUUCCUUAAGUCUGAUGUGAAAGCCCACGGCUCAACCGUGGAGGGUCAUUGGAAACUGGGGAACUUGAGUGCAGAAGAGGAAAGCGGAAUUCCACGUGUAGCGGUGAAAUGCGUAGAGAUGUGGAGGAACACCAGUGGCGAAGGCGGCUUUCUGGUCUGUAACUGACGCUGAGGCGCGAAAGCGUGGGGAGCAAACAGGAUUAGAUACCCUGGUAGUCCACGCCGUAAACGAUGAGUGCUAAGUGUUUAGGGGGUUUCCGCCCCUUAGUGCUGCAGCUAACGCAUUAAGCACUCCGCCUGGGGAGUACGGCCGCAAGGCUGAAACUCAAAGGAAUUUGACGGGGGCCCGCACAAGCGGUGGAGCAUGUGGUUUAAUUCGAAGCAACGCGAAGAACCUUACCAGGUCUUGACAUCCUCUGACAACUCUAGAGAUAGAGCGUUCCCCUUCGGGGGACAGAGUGACAGGUGGUGCAUGGUUGUCGUCAGCUCGUGUCGUGAGAUGUUGGGUUAAGUCCCGCAACGAGCGCAACCCUUGAUCUUAGUUGCCAGCAUUCAGUUGGGCACUCUAAGGUGACUGCCGGUGACAAACCGGAGGAAGGUGGGGAUGACGUCAAAUCAUCAUGCCCCUUAUGACCUGGGCUACACACGUGCUACAAUGGACGGUACAAAGAGUUCGCGAGACCGCGAAGGUGGAGCUAAUCUCAUAAAACCGUUCUCAGUUCGGAUUGCAGGCUGCAACUCGCCUGCAUGAAGCCGGAAUCGCUAGUAAUCGCGGAUCAGCAUGCCGCGGUGAAUACGUUCCCGGGCCUUGUACACACCGCCCGUCACACCACGAGAGUUUGCAACACCCGAAGUCGGUGAGGUAACCGUAAGGAGCCAGCCGCCUAAGGUGGGA
rnacentral:rRNA from 1 species